GUCAAAAUCCACGGACUCUCCUCCUCUAACUGCACUCCGUCCGUCCGUCCGUCCCUCCCUCUUUCCCUUCCGCUGAAGCUGUAUGUAACUCAAUCCUCCUCUGGUCUGAAAUGAAGAAGCCGUGGCUCUAAUUUCCACUUAUCCUACUCUUCUUUCGUUCCCCUUUCCAACAAGGGUAAAGGUUAUUCCUGAUCUAUUUAGCAUUGGACAACCAGGCAUGACCAUUUGGCUCAAAAGACAUAAACAUGCUCGAGCUCGAUAAUAUAAUGUAUGCCAAAGGCUGGCCUACAAGACCUAACAGGUUAAAGCAAACCCCAGUCCAACCAAAGGGGGUGUGCUACGAUGUGUGGUGCAUCCGGGAGGAUGGCUGAUAAAGAUAUGGUUCAGGAUUUAAUGGUAGAUGUCAUGGAUAGCUCUUGCUAAUAUGAGAGCCUCCCACUGAACACUGUAUUCUCCUUCUAUGUCAUUUCUGUUGUGUGAAAAUUGCGAGCUUACUUUCAGAAAUUAUACUAAUAUGCGUUAAGGGAAUUCCAUUAGUAAACAUUACUUCAUACCUGUAGUAGUGUAGUGAAAUAUUGCGUAAACCAUAUUCUUUGUAAAUUCGCACUUUUUAAGAUCUAAUUGUUUAUCAGCAAACGUAGUUGCUAAUAUUAAUGUUUUGCCA